rnacentral:rRNA from 1 species
UACGUAGGGUGCAAGCGUUGUCCGGAAUUAUUGGGCGUAAAGAGCUCGUAGGCGGUCUGUCGCGUCGAAUGUGAAAACCCGGGGCUCAACCCCGGGCCUGCAUUCGAUACGGGCAGACUAGAGUUCGGUAGGGGAGUCUGGAAUUCCUGGUGUAGCGGUGAAAUGCGCAGAUAUCAGGAGGAACACCGGUGGCGAAGGCGGGUCUCUGGGCCGUAACUGACGCUGAGGAGCGAAAGCGUGGGGAGCGAACAGG